UGAGUAACCUGCCCUUAACUCUGGGAUAAGCCUGGGAAACUGGGUCUAAUACCGGAUAUGACCUCUGACGACAUCGUCUGGAGGUGGAAAGCUCCGGCGGUCAAGGAUGGGCUCGCGGCCUAUCAGCUUGUUGGUGAGGUAACGGCUCACCAAGGCUUCGACGGGUAGCCGGCCUGAGAGGGCGACCGGCCACACUGGGACUGAGAUACGGCCCAGACUCCUACGGGAGGCAG
rnacentral:rRNA from 1 species